rnacentral:rRNA from 1 species
UAGGGAAUCUUCGGCAAUGGACGAAAGUCUGACCGAGCAACGCCGCGUGAGUGAAGAAGGUUGUCGGAUCGUAAAACUCUGUUGUUAGAGAAGAACAAGGACGUUAGUAACUGAACGUCCCCUGACGGUAUCUAACCAGAAAGCCACGGCUAACUACGUGCCAGCAGCCGCGGUAAUACGUAGGUGGCAAGCGUUGUCCGGAUUUAUUGGGCGUAAAGCGAGCGCAGGCGGUUUCUUAAGUCUGAUGUGAAAGCCCCCGGCUCAACCGGGGAGGGUUAUUGGAAACUGGGAGACUUGAGUGCAGAAGAGGAGAGUGGAAUUCCAUGUGUAGCGGUGAAAUGCGUAGAUAUAUGGGGGAACACCAGUGGCGAAGGCGGCUCUCUGGUCUGUAACUGACGCUGAGGCUCGAAAGCGUGGGGAGCAAACAGG